rnacentral:rRNA from 1 species
CUACGGGCGGCAGCAGUGGGGAAUAUUGGACAAUGGGGGAAACCCUGAUCCAGCAAUGCCGCGUGUGUGAAGAAGGCCUGCGGGUUGUAAAGCACUUUCGGUUGGGAGGACUGCUUCUAGCACUAAUAUUGUUGGAAGUUGACGUUACCUUCAGAAGAAGCACCGGCUAACUCCGUGCCAGCAGCCGCGGUAAUACGGAGGGUGCAAGCGUUAAUCGGAAUUACUGGGCGUAAAGCGCGCGUAGGCGGCUAGAUCAGUCGGGUGUGAAAGCCCCGGGCUUAACCUGGGAACUGCAUCCGAUAGUGUCUAGCUUGAGUACAGGAGAGGAGAGUGGAAUUCCACAUGUAGCGGUGAAAUGCGUAGAUAUGUGGAGGAACACCAAUGGCGAAGGCAGCUCUCUGGCCUGAUACUGACGCUGAGGUGUGAAAGCGUGGGGAGCAAACAGGAUUAGAUACCCGUGUAGUC